GCCGACGUGGCUCGACUUAGCAAGGCGCCGGUCUUGUAAACCGGAUCAUGCUGGUGCAAAUCCAGUCGUCGGCC
rnacentral:tRNA from 1 species